AGUGACAAGAAAUAACAAUACAGACUUUACGGUUUUGUAAUUGGAAUGAGUUAAGUAUAAACCCCUUUACAAGUAUCAAUUGGAGGGCAAGUCUGGUGCCAGCAGCCGCGGUAAUUCCAGCUCCAAUAGCGUAUAUUAAAGUUGUUGCAGUUAAAAAGCUCGUAGUUGGAUUUCUGUUAAUACCUUAUAUAUAAUAUUUUUUUUUUAAAUAUUAAUAUGUAAGAUUAACAUAAUUCAUAUUUUUAAGACUGAAUUUUUAGUUUUGAUAAUAUGAAAUUUUACUUUGAGAAAAUUAGAGUGCUUAAAGCAGG
rnacentral:rRNA from 1 species